AAAGGUUGGCUAAAGGUACUGAUUCUGUUGAUGUCUACAUGAAACAUGCAAGGACUAUUGUUGAUCAAUUGUCAGCGCUUCAGUCACCAAUCUUUGAAGAGUCAUUGGUGAAUGAUAUUUUGGAAGGGUUGGGUCCAAAUUUUCAGCCAUUUAUUCAUGUGAUUUAGGCCAGAAAUUCGUCUACUGAGUUUGAUGGUUUGUUUGCACCCUUGCUGAGUGAGGAAGCUCAAAUGAAAAUGGACUUUCUCUUGAUUUCUUCUUCAGUUCCGCCUUCUGCCCAU
rnacentral:misc_RNA from 1 species